rnacentral:rRNA from 1 species
AGUGAACGCUGGCGGUAGGCCUAACACAUGCAAGUCGAACGGCAGCACAGUAAGAGCUUGCUCUUACGGGUGGCGAGUGGCGGACGGGUGAGGAAUACAUCGGAAUCUACUUUUCGUGGGGGAUAACGUAGGGAAACUUACGCUAAUACCGCAUACGACCUACGGGUGAAAGCAGGGGAUCUUCGGACCUUGCGCGAUUGAAUGAGCCGAUGUCGGAUUAGCUAGUUGGCGGGGUAAAGGCCCACCAAGGCGACGAUCCGUAGCUGGUCUGAGAGGAUGAUCAGCCACACUGGAACUGAGACACGGUCCAGACUCCUACGGGAGGCAGCAGUGGGGAAUAUUGGACAAAGGGCGCAAGCCUGAUCCAGCCAUACCGCGUGGGUGAAGAAGGCCUUCGGGUUGUAAAGCCCUUUUGUUGGGAAAGAAAAGCAGCAGGUUAAUACCCCGCUGUUCUGACGGUACCCAAAGAAUAAGCACCGGCUAACUUCGUG